rnacentral:rRNA from 1 species
GAACCCUUCGGGGGGAAGUCGACGGAAUGAGCGGCGGACGGGUGAGUAACACGUAAAGAACCUGCCCUCAGGUCUGGGAUAACCACGAGAAAUCGGGGCUAAUACCGGAUGGGUCAUCGGACCGCAUGGUCCGAGGAUGAAAGGCGCUUCGGCGUCGCCUGGGGAUGGCUUUGCGGUGCAUUAGCUAGUUGGUGGGGUAAUGGCCCACCAAGGCGACGAUGCAUAGCCGACCUGAGAGGGUGAUCGGCCACACUGGGACUGAGACACGGCCCAGACUCCUACGGGAGGCAGCAGUAGGGAAUCUUCCACAAUGGACGAAAGUCUGAUGGAGCAACGCCGCGUGAACGAUGAAGGCCUUCGGGUCGUAAAGUUCUGUUGUAAGGGAAGAACAAGUGCCGCAGGCAAUGGCGGCACCUUGACGGUACCUUGCGAGAAAGCCACGGCUAACUACGUGCCAGCAGCCGCGGUAAUACGUAGGUGGCAAGCGUUGUCCGGAAUUAUUGGGCGUAAAGCGCGCGCAGGCGGCCUCUUAAGUCUGAUGUGAAAGCCCCCGGCUCAACCGGGGAGGGCCAUUGGAAACUGGGAGGCUUGAGUAUAGGAGAGAAGAGUGGAAUUCCACGUGUAGCGGUGAAAUGCGUAGAGAUGUGGAGGAACACCAGUGGCGAAGGCGACUCUUUG